UGCAAGUCGAACGAUGAAGCCCUUCGGGGUGGAUUAGUGGCGAACGGGUGAGUAACACGUGGGCAAUCUGCCCUGCACUCUGGGACAAGCCCUGGAAACGGGGUCUAAUACCGGAUAACACUCCUCCUCGCAUGGGGAGGGGUUAAAAGCUCCGGCGGUGCAGGAUGAGCCCGCGGCCUAUCAGCUUGUUGGUGAGGUAGUGGCUCACCAAGGCGACGACGGGUAGCCGGCCUGAGAGGGCGACCGGCCACACUGGGACUGAGACACGGCCCAGACUCCUACGGGAGGCAGCAGUGGGGAAUAUUGCACAAUGGGCGAAAGCCUGAUGCAGCGACGCCGCGUGAGGGAUGACGGCCUUCGGGUUGUAAACCUCUUUCAGCAGGGAAGAAGCGAAAGUGACGGUACCUGCAGAAGAAGCGCCGGCUAACUACGUGCCAGCAGCCGCGGUAAUACGUAGGGCGCAAGCGUUGUCCGGAAUUAUUGGGCGUAAAGAGCUCGUAGGCGGCUUGUCGCGUCGGUUGUGAAAGCCCGGGGCUUAACCCCGGGUCUGCAGUCGAUACGGGCAGGCUAGAGUUCGGUAGGGGAGAUCGGAAUUCCUGGUGUAGCGGUGAAAUGCGCAGAUAUCAGGAGGAACACCGGUGGCGAAGGCGGAUCUCUGGGCCGAUACUGACGCUGAGGAGCGAAAGCGUGGGGAGCGAACAGGAUUAGAUACCCUGGUAGUCCACGCCGUAAACGGUGGG
rnacentral:rRNA from 1 species